GAAAAAAAAAUAAUAACUAUAACUGUAUCCAUCUCUUAAUAUUGGACAUAUCUUUCAACAAAAGUUGUGUUUCUAUAUAUACAUUUAUAUAUAUAUAUAUAUAUAUGUAUGUAUGUAUAUGUACUUUAAACACAUCAAGGUGCUGUGGUCAUUGUUUCACCGUUUUUUUUUUCUCUUUUCUUUUUCCUUGGUGUCAAUCGUGUAAAGCUUUUAGACAUAUGGUACAUACUGGGGUCUGAAGGUAAAAUAUCGGGAGGCCAUAGCUACAUCUUCACCCGUCGGCCACUUUUCUUAAUGUAGACAUCGGUGAUUUGGAUGUAUAUGAAACCCACCUUACAACUUUAUAUACAUAUAUAUCAAAUUCAGUGCCUUCCUUUAUCCCAGCUAUGUACAAUGUACUACCUAUAGCAAAACGCCACAGUGGUAUUUUUCUCUGCCAUAGCAUACUGCAUGUUGCGCUUCAUAAACAUUUUGUUUUAACUAAUGGACAUGUUUUUUUUUUUUUUGGACAAUUUUAAUUCCAGGUUGUUUGUUUACUACAAAAUUUUACUAUUGUUUUAUUUAUAUAGAACUGGUUUCUUUCUUUUUUUUUUAAUAUGGAUAAAAAGUUUGUAUUAUUCAUGGCCCGAUACAUGUACGAGAUGGUUAGUUCAGCAUUAGGACUUCUGGUUCAAGAAAUCCAGCAGUGUCAUUCGUGACCUAGUUUUAGAUGUCUCUGUGUAUUUUAAAGAUUAUUAUUGCUAUUUAUGACUUUCGGGUUGGUUUUCUUCCCACAUUUACAGUUUUUGUACAAUUUAACAAGAAUAAUAUUAAAUUUCAAUGAAAUUUACAAGAAUCACAAAAUUCAGAAACUUAAACGGUUGAAAAAUGAGAAAGAUUUAAUGCUAUACUUAAUUAUGAUUUUUGAACUUUUUAAAUUUGAUGAUACAGUGUUUGCACGGCCAGUUAGCUGAUGUUUGUGUUGCUUUCAUCAUCCUCACCAUUUUUCAUCAUCGUCACCUUCCAUCCAAUCAUCUGUGCAUUGCAGACAUUUUUAGUAGCAUUGUCAAUGUCUUUGUUCUUUGAUAGUAUCAUACAAAAUUAUUUUACUGGAAUAAAAAUUGUAUACAU
rnacentral:sRNA from 1 species